rnacentral:rRNA from 1 species
AGAGUUUGAUCCUGGCUCAGAUUGAACGCUGGCGGCAGGCCUAACACAUGCAAGUCGAGCGGAUGAGUGGAGCUUGCUCCAUGAUUCAGCGGCGGACGGGUGAGUAAUGCCUAGGAAUCUGCCUGGUAGUGGGGGACAACGUUUCGAAAGGAACGCUAAUACCGCAUACGUCCUACGGGAGAAAGUGGGGGAUCUUCGGACCUCACGCUAUCAGAUGAGCCUAGGUCGGAUUAGCUAGUUGGUGAGGUAAAGGCUCACCAAGGCGACGAUCCGUAACUGGUCUGAGAGGAUGAUCAGUCACACUGGAACUGAGACACGGUCCAGACUCCUACGGGAGGCAGCAGUGGGGAAUAUUGGACAAUGGGCGAAAGCCUGAUCCAGCCAUGCCGCGUGUGUGAAGAAGGUCUUCGGAUUGUAAAGCACUUUAAGUUGGGAGGAAGGGCAGUAAGUUAAUACCUUGCUGUUUUGACGUUACCAACAGAAUAAGCACCGGCUAACUUCGUGCCAGCAGCCGCGGUAAUACGAAGGGGGCUAGCGUUGUUCGGAAUUACUGGGCGUAAAGCGCGCGUAGGUGGUUCGUUAAGUUGGAUGUGAAAGCCCCGGGCUCAACCUGGGAACUGCAUCCAAAACUGGCGAGCUAGAGUAUGGCAGAGGGUGGUGGAAUUUCCUGUGUAGCGGUGAAAUGCGUAGAUAUAGGAAGGAACACCAGUGGCGAAGACGACCACCUGGGCUAAUACUGACACUGAGUGCGAAAGCGUGGGGAGCAAACAGGAUUAGAUACCCUGUAGUC